rnacentral:rRNA from 1 species
AGCGAACGCUGGCGGCAGGCCUAACACAUGCAAGUCGAACGAAGCCUUCGGGCUUAGUGGCGGACGGGUGAGUAACACGUGGGAACGUACCUUUUGGUUCGGAACAACUCAGGGAAACUUGAGCUAAUACCGGAUGAGCCCUUAGGGGGAAAGAUUUAUCGCCGAGAGAGCGGCCCGCGUUAGAUUAGCUAGUUGGUGAGGUAAAGGCUCACCAAGGCUACGAUCUAUAGCUGGUCUGAGAGGAUGAUCAGCCACACUGGGACUGAGACACGGCCCAGACUCCUACGGGAGGCAGCAGUGGGGAAUCUUGCGCAAUGGGCGAAAGCCUGACGCAGCCAUGCCGCGUGAAUGAUGAAGGUCUUAGGAUUGUAAAAUUCUUUUACCAGGGACGAUAAUGACGGUACCUGGAGAAAAAGCCCCGGCUAACUUCGUGCCAGCAGCCGCAGUAAAAC